GUGACUGCAGUAUAUUAAGUACGUUGGCCUUUCACGUCAAAAGAGCACUGCAGUGCCUUUCAU
rnacentral:tRNA from 1 species